GACGAACGCUGCGGCGUGCCUAAUACAUGCAAGUAGAACGCGCAGGAUGCACCGUAGUUUACUACACCGUAUCCUGUGAGUUGCGAACGGGUGAGUAACGCGUAGGUAACCUGCCUGGUAGCGGGGGAUAACUAUUGGAAACGAUAGCUAAUACCGCAUAAGAACAUUUACUGCAUGGUAGAUGUUUAAAAGGUGCAAAUGCAUCACUACCAGAUGGACCUGCGUUGUAUUAGCUAGUUGGUGAGGUAACGGCUCACCAAGACAACGAUACAUAGCCGACCUGAGAGGGUGAUCGGCCACACUGGGACUGAGACACGGCCCAGACUCCUACGGGAGGCAGCAGUAGGGAAUCUUCGGCAAUGGGGGGAACCCUGACCGAGCAACGCCGCGUGAGUGAAGAAGGUUUUCGGAUCGUAAAGCUCUGUUGUUAAGGAAGAACGUGUGUGAGAGUGGAAAGUUCACACAGUGACGGUACUUAACCAGAAAGGGACGG
rnacentral:rRNA from 1 species